CCUACGGGAGGCUGCAGUGAGGAAUAUUGGUCAAUGGGCGGAAGCCUGAACCAGCCAAGUAGCGUGCAGGAUGACGGCCCUACGGGUUGUAAACUGCUUUUAUACGGGAAUAACGCGCCUUACGUGUAGGGCUUUGCAUGUACUGUAUGAAUAAGGACCGGCUAAUUCCGUGCCAGCAGCCGCGGUAAUACGGAAGGUCCGGGCGUUAUCCGGAUUUAUUGGGUUUAAAGGGAGCGUAGGUGGGAGAGCAAGUCAGACGUGAAAGUCCGGGGCUCAACCCUGGAACUGCGAUUGAAACUGGCAGACUUGAGUAAAGUAGAGGCAGGCGGAAUUCGGUGUGUAGCGGUGAAAUGCGUAGAUAUAACGAGGAACACCGGUUGCGAAGGCAGCCUACUGAACUGCCACUGACAUUGAGGCUCGAAAGUGUGGGUAGCAAACAGGAUUAGAUACCCCAGUAGUC
rnacentral:rRNA from 1 species